GAUGAACGUUGGCGGCGUGCCUAAUACAUGCAAGUCGAGCGAACGGACGAGAAGCUUGCUUCUCUGAUGUUAGCGGCGGACGGGUGAGUAACACGUGGAUAACCUACCUAUAAGACUGGGAUAACUUCGGGAAACCGUAGCUAAUACCGGAUAAUAUUUUGAACCGCAUGGUUCAAAAGUGAAAGACGGUCUUGCUGUCACUUAUAGAUGGAUCCGCGCUGCAUUAGCUAGUUGGUAAGGUAACGGCUUACCAAGGCAACGAUGCAUAGCCGACCUGAGAGGGUGAUCGGCCACACUGGAACUGAGACACGGUCCAGACUCCUACGGGAGGCAGCAGUAGGGAAUCUUCCGCAAUGGGCGAAAGCCUGACGGAGCAACGCCGCGUGAGUGAUGAAGGUCUUCGGCUCGUAAAACUCUGUUAUUAGGGAAGAACAUAUGUGUAAGUAACUGUGCACAUCUUGACGGUACCUAAUCAGAAAGCCACGGCUAACUACGUG
rnacentral:rRNA from 1 species